GAAAGUAAACAAGGGCGCAUGGAGGAUGCCUAGGCUCUCGGAGGCGAAGAAGGACGUGAUAAGCUGCGAAAAGUUACGGUAAGGCGCAAAUAGCCCUAGACCCGUAAAUAUCCGAAUGGGGCAACCCGGCCAGCAAUGGCCAUACCGCCAAGCGGUAAGCCAACGCGGGGAACUGAAACAUCUAAGUACCCGCAGGAAAAGAAAAUAACAAUGAUUCCGCCAGUAGUGGCGAGCGAACGCGGAACAGCCCAAACCACUCGUGUUACGGCACGAGUGGGGUAGAAGGAUCCACGAUACGGCAAGAAAUAAGUUAGCAGAAUACGAUGGAAAUCGUAGCCAAAGACGGUGACAGCCCAGUACGCGAAAACCGACAGAAGCCCAGUGGACACCUGAGUAACCCAGGACACGAGAAAUCCGGGGCGAAUCAGCGGGGCCCAUCCCGUAAGGCUAAAUACUCCCGAGAGACCGAUAGCGAACCAGUACUGUGAAGGAAAGGUGAAAAGAACCUCGAACAGAGGAGUGAAAGAGACCCUGAAACCAUGCGCCUACAAGCGGUCGGAGCAUGUUAAAAUGUGACGGCGUGCCUUUUGCAUAAUGAACCUACGAGUUACUCUCGCUGGCAAGGUUAAGCGAUUCAGUCGCGCAGCCGAAGCGAAAGCAAGUCCGAAUAAGGCGUACAGUCAGCGGGAGUAGACGCGAAACCAAGUGAUCUACCCUUGGUCAGGUUGAAGGUUGGGUAACACCAACUGGAGGACCGCACCGAUAAGCGUUGAAAAGCUUACGGAUGAACUGAGGGUAGGAGUGAAAGGCCAAUCAAACUUGGAGAUAGCUCGUACUCCCCGAAAUGCAUUUAGGUGCAGCCUCGAAGCAGAGUGAUAGAGGUAGAGCGACUGAUAAGAUGCGAGGGCUUCACCGCCUAUCAAGUCUUGACAAACUCCGAAUACUAUCACUUGAUCUUUGGGAGUGAGGGCAUGGGUGCUAAGGUCCAUGUCCGAAAGAGGAACAACUCAGACCACCAGCUAAGGUCCCGAAAUAAGGGCUAAGUUGAAUAAACGAAGUAAAACUGCAAAGACAGCUAGGAUGUUGGCUUGGAAGCAGCCAUUCAUUUAAAGAGUGCGUAACAGCUCACUAGUCGAGGAGUUUUGCAUGGAUAAUAAUCGGGCAUAAGCCCUUUACCGAAGCUGUGGAUGUCGUAAGACAUGGUAGGGGAGCAUUCCGGCGGCGACGAAGGCCGUCCUCGAGGACGACUGGAGCUUUCGGAAAAGCAAAUGUAGGUAUAAGUAACGAUAAAGGGGGCGCGAAACCCCCUCGCCAUAAGACUAAGGAUUCCUGAUCAACGCUAAUCGGAUCAGGGUAAGUCGGGCCCUAAGGCGCAGCCGAACGGCGUAGCCGAUGGAAGAAACGGUAAAGAUUCCGUUACUGGAUAUAGGAGCGAUGUGGAGACGGAGAAGUGACACACCCGCCUGCCGACGGAAGCGCAGGUUAAAGGAAGUAGGUAAACGCCGGGUAGGCAAAUCCGCCUGGCGUGCCGAAACUGACAGUAUCGAGAGCCCCCGGGCAAUCGAAUAGCGGUGGUAAUCAGGCUCCCAAGAAAAUCCGCUAAGCAUAUUCUAUAUCCACCCGUACCCCAAACGGACACACGUAGUCGGGUAGAAUAUACCAAGGCGCUCGAAAGACUCACGGUUAAGGAACUAGGCAAAUUGACCCUGUAACCUCGGGAAAAAGGGUCCCCAGUAAGAUGGGGCGCAGAGAAUAGGUCCAGGCAACUGUUUAACAAAAACACAGGGCUGUGCAAAAUUUCAAGAUGAAGUAUACAGCCUGACACCUGCCCGGUGCCGGAAGGUUAAGAGGAGAGCUUAUCGCAAGAGAAGGCUUGAAUUGAAGCCCCGGUAAACGGCGGCCGUAACUAUAACGGUCCUAAGGUAGCGAAAUUCCUUGUCGGGUAAGUUCCGACCUGCACGAAUGGUGUAAUGAUCUGGACAC
rnacentral:rRNA from 1 species